ACUUGAUUAGGAUGUGCUGACAAUGUGGGUCUUUUCGGUGGGAACAGACCUUCCCGCAGGCCAGCCCACAGGCAAGUGUGCCCUUUGGCACGUUACUCACCCUGGGUGCGGCAGUUCCACGUGAGAAACGGGGUGAGACAAAAAGGUCAGAGUGGGGAGCUGGUGUUAGCUGUGGGAUUCACUGCAGCGUCCUACCACAAAGGCAAAGAAGAUGAAAAUGCAGCGUGCAGUGCUGGGCUUGAUUCCCAAGUCGCAGUCGGGCUCCCGCUAUGGGUAGGAGGCUUUACACUCAGCCUGGGUCAGCACCGGAGCAUCCAGGCACUUCAGCUCGUCUGGGUAGUCAGCUGUGAGGAUCAGGAAGAGAUCAAAGAAAGUAGAAAUGUGGGUGAGGCCAGAGAAGGAGACAAUAAUCUGGGAUGGAACAUUGAAGAGGAACACUGCCUCUGGAGAGGACUCCAAAACAUGCAAGACAUUGUGAUUUUGACCUUGUUGGAUGCUGCACCUAAAGGUGGAUGGAAGAGGAAGAGUCUUGGGGGCUACCAUCCUGGCUGGAGAAGCUGGCACGAGGCUCCCUCUUGUGGAUGCAGCAAGUCUGAGGGCCAAGGGAAGAGAAGAGUGACAUAGAAUCUCCUUUCCUUGAGAUCUUAGAAUCACGCCUGCCUCCUUACCUCCAUCCAGGACUGUUAAAAAUCUCCCAAGGCAGAGACUUUUAGGCCUACAUGUACUUAGCCUCCUCUUCCCACCUCCUGUUCAUCUCUGUUUCCAAUGUUCCACUGCCAUCACUGCCAGGAAGUUCUGCAGAGAAGAAUGAAGAAGAACCGUAUGAUCCUAAACAUGUUCUUUGAAGAUAUUAUCAACCCACCAUUGGCCUUAUUUACUGGAAUGUUUUUAUAACCUUUAUUUGACACCUCUUCCCAUCAUUUAAAAUAAAUCUGGUGCUUCCCUGAAUAA
rnacentral:lncRNA from 1 species